rnacentral:rRNA from 1 species
ACAACCAGUAGCACUGGAUCCCUUGGCACGUCAUUCGAUGAAGAACGUAGCAAUCUGCGAUAAGUGGUGUGAUAUGCAAGUCCACAGCUUAUACGUGAACCAUCGAAUCUUUGAACGCACUGCACUAUCCGGACGACACCCCCGUGAUAGUAUGCCCCGUUGAGCGUCAUU